GAUGAACGCUGGCGGCGUGCCUAACACAUGCAAGUCGAACGAUGAAACCGCCCUCGGGCGGACAUGAAGUGGCGAACGGGUGAGUAACACGUGACCAACCUGCCCCUUGCUCCGGGACAACCUUGGGAAACCGAGGCUAAUACCGGAUACUCCUCGCCCCCCUCCUGGGGGGCCCGGGAAAGCCCAGACGGCAAGGGAUGGGGUCGCGGCCCAUUAGGUAGUAGGCGGGGUAACGGCCCACCUAGCCCGCGAUGGGUAGCCGGGUUGAGAGACCGACCGGCCACAUUGGGACUGAGAUACGGCCCAGACUCCUACGGGAGGCAGCAGUGGGGAAUUUUGCGCAAUGGGGGCAACCCUGACGCAGCAACGCCGCGUGCGGGACGACGGCCUUCGGGUUGUAAACCGCUUUCAGCAGGGAAGAAAUUCGACGGUA
rnacentral:rRNA from 1 species